rnacentral:rRNA from 1 species
UACAGAGGGGGCGAGCGUUGUUCGGAAUUACUGGGCGUAAAGGGUGCGUAGGCGGUUUUCCAAGUCAGAUGUGAAAUCCCUGGGCUUAACCCAGGACGUGCAUUUGAGACUGGGAGGCUUGAGUAUGGGAGAGGAUGGUGGAAUACCCAGUGUAGAGGUGAAAUUCGUAGAGAUUGGGUAGAACACCGAUGGCGAAGGCAGCCAUCUGGCCCAUUACUGACGCUGAGGCACGAAAGCGUGGGGAGCAAACAGGAUUAGAUACCCUGGUAGUCCACGCCGUAAACGAUGUGCGCUAGCCGUCGGGGUGCAUGCACUUCGGUGGCGGAGCUAACGCAAUAAGCGCACCGCCUGGGGAGUACGGCCGCAAGGUUGAA